CAGAGAACUAAAGGUUUGGACACUUCGGAAUUGCUUGAGCAGUUGCCAGCAUUACAGCAGCUUCUAUUUCGUGUUCUUGGUUGCCAGGAGCAACGGUUCAUAAUUUUGUGAUUCAAUUAGCACUCUCUAUGGUUGCUUCUGAAAGCAUUAAAAUCUACAAUGCUAUCAGUGAUGGUGUCGUAAAUUUGGUCGACAAGUUCUUUGAAAUGCAACGACAUGAUGCUCUUAAGGCUUUGGAUAUAUGUCAGAGGUCAGGGAAACAGGUAAAUAG